AUGCUUGAUUCAGUAGCACAUAUACAAAAAUUGGAAGGAUACAGAGAAGAAUAGCGUCUCCUAUGCAAAGAUGGCAAGCACACUUAUGAAACAGUCCAGAAAGAA